rnacentral:rRNA from 1 species
CGGCAACGGAUAUCUCGGCUCUCGCAUCGAUGAAGAACGUAGCGAAAUGCGAUACUUGGUGUGAAUUGCAGAAUCCCGUGAACCAUCGAGUCUUUGAACGCAAGUUGCGCCCGAAGCCUUUAGGCCGAGGGCACGCCUGCCUGGGCGUCACACGCCGUUGCCCCC